CAGUUGAUUUUGUGGCGCUGAUUUGAAUCUUACCCGCGCUUCUGAUUAAUUCAUGAAGUACAAGGGAAAAUCAUGGUUGAAUUUCUUAAUAUGAGCCAUACAAAUAUCAACACGUUUCUCUUACCAUUCGGUUUCUUUGGUCCUGGUUUGAUGACAUGGCUGUGAUGAUAAACACAUUAGCAAACACGCCAGUUCUGCUUCUGAAAAUUCAUGACUGAACAAUCUGUUAAUAUAUAUCUGAGCCAUGCACAACAGCGUCAUGAACCAUUUAAUAGAUCUGCAUUGUGAUCAGAUCUUGUUAUCAUUCAGUGAUGCAACCAGCCCAACAUUUGGAGGUUCAGAUGCAUCCAGGAUCCUGUUAACAGUUUACAUGAUGGUUGCCCGAUUUUAACUAUCCUCUCGCAAGCACAUCAGAUUUGUGGAAGAGGCUGAAAAACUCGGGAGAGCAUGUGUUGUCAUCAGCUUCGUCACUUGUUUCUACGAGAUGGGAGUUAAAUAACGACACGAAAUCCAUCUGAUUAUUGGGUGAGUAGAUUAGCUGACUAUUCAGGUCCUUGUAACCUUAUUUUGACGUUAUCUUAAGAAAGUGAAGCCCAUAGAAACAAACUUGCUGUAGUUGACUUCGUAAAUAAAAUGGCGGUGAUGAUCAACACUUUCAGCAAACAUGCCAGUUCUGCUUCUGAGAAUUCCUGACUGAAGGAACUGUUUUAUAUGUCUGAGCCAUACAUUUGCACUCUUUAUCAUUGUAAUAUACCUCUUCUUGUGUGAUCUGAUCUGAUUAACAUGAAACUUCUAUAUCCAGUUUUAGUUGUUUUUUCAUCUUUAUGUACUUUGAUUGAUGUAUGUAACAGUUUCUCUGAAUUGUUAAAAGUUGUUGGUAUUAGCUUCGGCAUCAGA